AACUCUUUCCAUUUCAAAUGUUAACUUAAAGGGUGGGUACCCUAUUUCAAGCCCAGCACAUGACGCUCUAACGAUCAUAUAUAAAAACGUCACGAGCAGCUGCAUUAACACGCUGUGUGUGUACUGUCAAAUAGUAAAAAUGACUGACCGCAGUGGAAAAUUUAAUAUUAUGAAGUUAGUCAAAAUUGUGUCUCUCAGCUUAUUAUUCGUUGUUAUAGUAUGUUUCGUUGCAGCCACUUUAAGGACUCUGACGUUUGACGUGAAUUCAGGACUUCAACUUGCACACUGGGAAAAGACGAACAAUAUUGCGUCUGACAUAAACCAGCACCAGCGAAAGGACCUUCUUGCUAAUUUCAGAGAGGCAAUCCAGAUUCCCACGGUGUCAACAGCGAAGACGCAGCUCAACAUCACCGCACUGGGCGAGUUCGACAGCCUCCUGAGGAGAGUUUUCCCUACAGUUUUCUCUUCCCACCUGGUCCAGCAUGAGGUUGUGGCCAACUACAGCCACCUGUUCUGGGUGCCUGGCUCUGACCUGGCCCUGGUCCCCUACAUGCUGCUGGCCCACAUAGAUGUGGUGCCUGCUGAUGAGAAUGAUGGAUGGGAGGUCCCACCAUUCUCUGCAAAGGAGAUAGAUGGAUUCAUCUAUGGUAGAGGGACCAUCGAUAACAAGCAGUCCGUCAUGGGAAUCCUCCAGGCGCUGGAGUACCUGUUGAUAAGAGGUUAUUCUCCGCAAAGGGGAUUCUUCAUUGGUCUGGGUCAUGAUGAAGAGGUGGGUGGCUUGCAGGGGGCCAUGAACAUAGUGAGGGUGCUGAAGAAGAAAGGGGUACAGCUGGCGUUCAUACUGGAUGAGGGUCUGGCUGUGCUGGAUGGAGUCAUCAGUGGUCUGCAGGGGCCUGCUGCUCUGAUUGGGAUCAGUGAGAAGGGACAAGCCACGGUGAAACUGAGUGUCUUCAAGGCCCCGGGUCACUCCUCCAUGCCUCCCAGAGAGAGCAGCAUCGGCAUCCUGGCUGGAGCUGUCAAAAGGUUGGAGGACAACCCUAUGCCCAUAUUGUUUGGUGAAGGCCCUGAGCGCAGGACCUUUGAACACUUAGCUCACAGGUUUGGACUCCCAAUUAAGUUUGUCAUGUCAAAUAUGUGGCUGUUCUCUCCACUUAUUGGCAGAGUAAUGGAAAGAAGUCCUGACACAAAUGCUUUUUUGAGAACCACAACUGCAGUCACCAUGUUCAACUCAGGUGUUAAGGUGAAUGUUCUUCCCUCCCUUGCUGAGGCCUAUGUGAAUCUGCGGAUACAUCCAGCACAGACUGUAGAAGAGGUUCUCGAGUUCAUCCAAUCCACAGUGGGAGAUGAGAGAGUGAAGAUGGAGCUGGUGAAUGGUUUUGACCCACUGCCUGUCAGUUCGUAUGAUGAAACAUCCUUUGGGUUCCAGACCAUCAAGAAGACCCUGCUGGACCAGUUCCCACAAGUUACUGUUGCGCCUGGUGUCUGCAUCGGGAACACAGACAGCCGUCACUACACUGACCUGGCCAAGGACAUCUAUCGCUUUGCACCUACCUGGAUCAGACCAGGGGACACCCAGAGGUUCCAUGGUAUUAACGAGAGGAUUUCUAAGAAGAACUAUGAGGAACUGGUGGUCUUUUAUUUCAAUCUGAUCCAGAACUGUGACAUCAAGGAGCUCCCUUCUCCCCACAGUGCUGGCCAUGAGCUCUAAAGCAGUAGGGUAUUUGGGGGCCACGAUUACAUUCAUAAUCUAGAUAAAAAUGAGUUUGUGUCAGAUUCUAUUUACCCCUUCAGGUUGGGUCCCUCCUUUAUUUUGGAUGAAGUACAGACAUCUCUUGGUGAUGCUAAUAUAUAUAUAUAUAUUAAUAAUGAUAAACAACAAACUACCAAUGCUAUAGUUUGAAUGAAGACAGUCUGAUUUGUAUUAUCAGUGAGUACAUCAAUUCAAUGUUACUCAGACAUCAAAAGGGGGCAGGCUCUCACGAGGAACAGACAUGUAACAUGGAGAUUUUGAUCUCUGUGUUGUAAAAAAACAAAACACUGGUGACGGUAUUGCAUAAGAGAGAUGGAGUUUGAUUUUUAUUAUGGCCAUAAAGUUAAUGGGUAUAGAAAAUCUAUGUAAUAUGUUACUAUUUUGUUAUUGGUCAUUGAUGUGAAACUUGAAUUGGAAAUCAUUGUGAUGGGUGAAGUGUAUUCAGCGUGCAUGUGAGAGCUACUGGACAAAUUUCCUCCCUGUGGAAUGGUUUCUAAACAAAUAUAAAGAUAUUAUAUAAAUCAUUUAUUUUCAAUGCACAUUAAUGGUAUGAAACUUGAAAUUGCUAUAUUUUGACUAAGCGUGAUAUCUUACUUGCUGAUUUCUAUGAGUUACUUUAGGUUUUUUGUGUGAAUAUUUAAUACAGGUUAAUUGAGGUGCAAUACUUGAUUUAUCUGUUUGAGAACUGAAAUUCAAAAACAUGUCUUGAAAUACUGCUGCCCGGUGUGCGAGGUACUGGGCCAAUAAAGCUGAAGAUAUCAUUGAUGUGGGCGAGUGGUGAACAUAAUGGUUAAUAAACAUGAUGCACUGUGGUGAUGGCCAUCUUUGUUUCCAGUUGAUGUGUCCAAAUUGUUACAAUGUACAGUCAGACAUUAUUUUAGAAGUGUUCAGACAGUAGGUCUAAUGUCAUUCCAAACCAUUAACAAGGAGCUUUACAAUAGUUUUUUUCAGCUAUACCAAGGUUGUCAAAGUGUUUGUUCCUUGGGUUUUUGGGUUUUCCUUUCAAUUAAGACCUAGACAACCAGUUGAGGGCAGUGUUGCCAAAUUAGCGACUUUAUUGCUAUAUUUAGCGAGUAUUCAGACCCCUCUAGCGACACAUUUUCAAAAAAUACUAUUUCUGGUGUUUAUUGGAGACUUUUGAAGACUGAUGUGAAAGCACGUAUCGUUCUUACUCUUCUUAACGAGCAGCGGGUGUUGCCGUGGGCCCCACCACCAAAGCACUCACAGGCUGCCCAGUCCUCGCACAGCUGUCCCUCCCAGCUGCAGUCAGAGCAGGAGAUGUUCACCCCUCCGCGUCCAGACUGCAAAUGAAUCGCGCAUGUGGGAAACCGCCGCUGGCUGAUCCCGCACUGGCUUACAUUCAGGGCAGGAUGUAAAUGUAAAAUGUUCUUUAUCUAAAAUAAAUCACUGCAUUUGA